rnacentral:rRNA from 1 species
UACGGGAGGCAGCAGUAGGGAAUAUUGGACAAUGGGGGCAACCCUGAUCCAGCAAUGCCGCGUGAGUGAUGAAGGCCUUAGGGUUGUAAAGCUCUUUUACCCGGGAUGAUAAUGACAGUACCGGGAGAAUAAGCCCCGGCUAACUCCGUGCCAGCAGCCGCGGUAAU